rnacentral:lncRNA from 1 species
AAAAAUACCUAACUGGUCCCAAAAUUCUCAAAAAAUUAUUUAUUAUUUUUCUGUAAAAACAAUAAAAAAAUUUGGAGUCUCCUUGCCACCGCACGCUCCCCCACGCACCGCCAGUGAGAGUGGGCGUGGAGGCGCGUCACUGUUCAUCAUCUUCCUCACUCAUUUUAUGUAGAAACGGGUCGCGAUGACCCGGUUCGUUCUCCCUCAAUAAUUAACGAAACUCGACGUUCUUUAUACCAUUUUGAUCGCCGUUCGAUUUUAUGAAUGUUUCCGGUAUUAGUUUUCGAAAUCGGUGAUUGAAUCGCAUAUAAAAUGUGACCGAAAUUGAGCAAGCAAAAAUAGAAAGUUCUUAUUAUUACACGUGUAAAAUCAUCUGAUGGCUGUGAAUGACUUAUGCACCAUACAUAAGAAGAGGCUUAUGCAUAUUAACUCUUGUAGUGGUGAAU